UACGAAGGGUGCUAGCGUUGUUCGGAAUCACUGGGCGUAAAGCGUGCGUAGGCGGCUAUACAAGUCAGAGGUGAAAGCCCAGGGCUUAACCCUGGAAUUGCCUUUGAAACUGUAUAGCUGGAGUACUGGAGGGGAUAGCGGAAUUCCUAAUGUAGCGGUGAAAUGCGUAGAUAUUAGGAGGAACACCGGUGGCGAAGGCGGCUAUCUGGACAGUAACUGACGCUGAGGCACGAAAGCGUGGGGAUCAAACAGG
rnacentral:rRNA from 1 species